AAACUAACAAGGAUUCCCCUAGUAACGGCGAGCGAAGCGGGAAGAGCUCAAAUUUGAAAGCUGGCACCUUCGGUGUCCGCGUUGUAAUCUCGAGACGUGUUUUCCGUGUGGCGCUAUGGACAAGUCCCUUGGAACAGGGCAUCGUAGAGGGUGAAAAUCCCGUACUUGCCAUGGAUGUACCAUGCUUUGUGAUACACGCUCUAAGAGUCGAGUUGUUUGGGAUUGCAGCUCAAAAUGGGUGGUAGACUCCAUCUAAAGCUAAAUAUCGGGGAGAGACCGAUAGCGAACAAGUACCGUGAGGGAAAGAUGAAAAGCACUUUGGAAAGAGAGUUAAAAGUACGUGAAAUUGUCGAAAGGGAAGCGCUUGAAGUCAGCCAUGCUGCUUGAGACUCAGCCUUGCUUUUGCUUGGUGUAUUUCUCGGUAGCAAGCCAGCAUUGGUUUGAGUCGUCGGAGAAGGGUAUGAGAAAUGUGGCAUCCUCGGAUGUGUUAUAGGCUUGUACUGGAUACGACGAUUUGGAUCAAGGAACGCAGUGUGCCUCUGGCGGGUCUUCGGACACCUUCACACUUAGGAUGCUGGCGUAAUGGCUUUAAGCAGC
rnacentral:rRNA from 1 species